UGGGAUUACAGGCUGGUGCUACAACACCCA
rnacentral:piRNA from 1 species